GUGUUCUCCUGGGGGUGCCUUAACGGGCUGAGAAUCCGCCGCUUUCGCGACGGUAACCCUUCGAACCUGAUCCGGGUCAUUCCGGCGAAGGGAAGGAACGUACACGCCAG
rnacentral:ncRNA from 1 species